AAGUGAUUAAAAAAAAAGAGGCAGCAUCUUUUUUUUUAAGAUAAGAGAAUGUGAAGAUAAAUGCGCCUGCAAGUGGCGCCCUCUGAUGUUUACUUCUGGACCUUUUUUUUCUGGCCUUUCUAUGUAUGUGUGUGCAUACGGUUCAAAUGUACAUGCAUUUGUGUGUUACUCACUUUGAAAUUGAAAUAAGUUCCUUACAUUAAUAUUGUUAUACUAAACACUGAGACAGGAGAAGGACUCUGAAUGCGAGAUGUUAAAGUACAGAAGGAGAAAGUUGUUUUGUUUUGGGGGGUUUUUGGGCUUUUUUUUAAUUAAAGCUCUCUGGAAACAAAACAUUGUAGUUCAUGAACACUAUUUCUAGCAAUGUUGCAAUUCCUACUUAGGUUGAAUAUUACUAUAAAUGGAAGAGUCGGCAGUAGGAAAGGAACAUUUUUUAAUUAAAUUCUGCCUCAAUAUUGUUUUUUUAAACUAUUGUUUUAUUAUAGCUUCUUUUUUCUGAGGUUUAGGAAAACAAAACAAUCUGACUGCACAUAAAUUAUAAAAUAAAACUUGAGGUAUGUAAGUUAGUGCCUGGAUUCAGCAAAAUUUACAGUACUUUUAGGCCCGAGGACCAGGGAUUUUUAUCAAAAGCCCAUUACUGCAUGUUGAUCAUUGUGUAUAUGUUUCGAUUGUGCUGUUGUCAUGUCACAGCUCUGACAUUUACACUUUAGUUUUCUGGUCCUGGGCUGAUGUAGGUAAAAAUAAAAACUCUCUUCCUAUCUCCAGUUCUCUUCUGUCUGUAAAGGGCUUUGAAAGGCAUUUGAAGCAUUUUCCUCUUUUUCACAUGCAUUAUGCCUGUUACAUCAGCUUCCUACCUGCUGUUUACUGUUAUUAAAUGUUGUUUCACGGUUGUGGCAGUACACGUGUUAUUUUUGGUUUUCUGCCUAUACUUCACUCCUGCUUUGAUCUGCUUUUGUGUUUUUAUUGUAGUGUAAUUCUAAACUAAACAUUGCCCCUCCUCUUGCUUGUAAUUUGGGGACGGAAAUGAAUAAUUCUUUCACUGAACUUUUCUUUUAUGUUGUUGUUUUUCUUAUUUCUAAUAUUUUUUUUCAUUACCUAUUAUAUAACAUUUCUGUUGAGAAAACCUUUGACUGUAGAUAUUGACUUGUAAAUAAUUUUUAAGUGUACAAAUGUUUGGCUCCAUUUUCAUGUUUGCACCACAGUCAUGUAUGUAAUUUAUGCAGGCUAUUACUUUCUGGAGUAGACCUGUUAUGUUGUGAUUCUGCUGUAUGUUUGCUUUGAUUUGGCUGAGCGGUGGAUACACUUCUCAUUCAGGUGUUUCAGUGUUUCAUGUUCAAAUUUAGCAAAGAAAAUGGACUCUGAUUCGUCCUUUUCGUAUCAUCCAAUUUAAAUAUGUAAAAAUCACCCGAUUAUUAUUAUUAUGAUUAUUAUUAUGAUUAUUAUUAUUAUUGCUAUUAUGUUAUUAAGCAUGGAUUUCUAUGGACC
ensembl:lncRNA